CUGCACUCUGAGGUGAAGCCCAGAGCUCAGACCCAUCGUACCAGCUGAUCCAGUCAGACUGAAGGGCUGGGACACUCUCUGGUUUCUCCCUCUGGCCGGACUGUCAUCGCCACAAAGGAGCCCCAGCCAUCAUACCUCAGUGAGAGGAGUCACUGGAAGAGAGGAUCCUACAACUUUGAUGAGUCACCCAAGCUCCUGAGCGGGAAGACUGCUGGACUCCAGAGGACCAGGAAUCAACAAAUGUAGUGAGCCAAAGGAGGGUCACCAAAAGGGAACAUUCCUUGAAGAUGCGGCUCCAAGACAAAGAGAAUUGACUACACCCACAUACUUCCCCUAGGGGAGGAAGAAAGGAGAUUGAUAUUCUAAAUAGGCAUCAAUCACCUUGCGUGGGGACCAAAGCCGCCCUAGCCCAUUCCUUCCAGGAAAAAUCCUUGUUUGGUCCAUGCAAUCUUGGUAUGUGACUUGCUUUCCCAGUUUAUCCUCAUUUAAUCAAUAUCACCUAAGUGACUAUAUUUGUAAUCUUAUCAGUUGACUGUAGUUUUGUCCCACCUUAGGCCCACCUGACCUCGUGGCUUUGCUCAAUAAAACUCCCUUGAAAAGCAGGGUCCCCAGGCAACCCACUUUCUGGACUUCCUUUUCUCUCUUAGACAGAAGCUGUCUUUCUCUCAAUAAAUUUUUCUUACUCUUAA
rnacentral:lncRNA from 1 species